UCCAUUAUCUGCAUUGAGCUUGAGAUUCUGAAUCCUGACAAUCAAAUCCAUUAUCUAGACGGCGAAUGUGGUUUCCGGAAUUGGAGAGGUAGGGCGGUCGAUGCGGCGUCUCAAACCCUAGGCGGGGCGUCCCGCUGUGGUUGGGUGCUGGGGCCUUCGCUCGACAAGAUCAUAAGAAUGUGGCUUGGAGGAAGGAAACACUCCCAACUCGUCUCCUCCUGCAAAUCUGCUCUGCCGACGACCCUUCCGAUCCCGCCUCUUGCUGACUUCCAGCUUCAGCCACUCAUCUCCGCCCUCGAUUCGGCCUACCCCAAGGUCGUCGAGCCGGGUCCUGACACCUCCUCAUCCUACAUUUGAGCUAACUAGUGGAAAACAGCUUAAGUUGUCGUCGAUCUCGCAAUGGCCUCCAAAAAACUGCUCUAGGUCCACCACCUGGUUCAGUUUCCUCCUUAUCACCUGUCCAAGAUAUGACAUGUCGUUAUGAAUCAGUUAAGUGCCUGGUUAGGAUAAUUAAAUCAAUGGAAUCAUGGAUGGACCAACAACUGAAAGCUGGAGAACAUAAUCCGACAAAGUCUUCUGAUAAUGAAAACGUGGCUGAGAGUCUCAGUUACCACACUGAUGAUGCAACUAAUGCUGAUUAUGAGCCACACCUAGAAGCAAACUCUGAAAUAUAUGAUGCUGCAACACUGGAUUAGCUUAGAGCUCAUAAGUUGGAAAUUCAGGUUUGUUUAUGAUUUCACUUCAAGCAAAUCUAUUCCCUCAAGAAUUCUUAAUAGCUGUCUAAUCUAAACAUGAGAACAGGGUUGCAUUAAGAAUACAAGCAUUUAUAAUGUAAAAUUAGCUGUCUAAUCUCUUAAUAGUCUAAUAAUUUAUUUAGUGGCAGAGUUGUUAUGAUUUUGGAACACUUUAGUGAUUAUGUCAGUGUAAUGGAUGCCGAAAGGCACUGCACUGUUCAAUAGAAAAUCAUCCAAGGGAAUUGAAUUCUUGAUAAAAUCCAAAAAAGUUGGUAGCUCCCUAGAAGAAGUGGCCCAUUUUCUGAAAAAGAUAGACCGCAUCAUGGAAAAAUUUGCGGAGCGCUAUUGUAAAUGCAAUCCAAACUCGUUCACCAGCGCAGAUACAGCUUAUGUCCUUGCUUACUCAGUCCUAAUGCUCAAUAAUGACGCCGAUAAUCGUAUGGUGAUGGAUAAGGUACAUUUCUUCCUAUGGCAUCCAUGUCCACUCGCAGUGUUGGAGUGACUUUGAGGAACGACAAAGAGAAAGCACAGUUGAAGAACCUGUCACCCCCCACUAGCCAGCCUUCAAGAUACUCCUCAUUGGCUGUCAUAAAGGGUCUCGGCAUCCAGCAAUGCUGGGAUACAUUGGUUAGAGGGAGGCUUUUACCAUCUUUUCCAUGAGAAGUGUGCUCAUAUAAGGCAUUGACAGUGGAGUUCCUCAGCACAUUGCAACUGAUUUACAGUGAUGAGGAGGAGUUGGAGGCCAUCACAUUUCGGCACACCAAAAAGGAGAUCACGCUAACUCCGGCUCAAUUCAACGCUAUAUUCAAAGUGUACGGAGAUCAGGACAGAGCCAUUUGGCAAGAGCCGGAGGACUUUGAUAGAGAUUGGUUCUGGCUGGCAAUCACACGUCAGCGGGACUCCACGGCCAGGUUCAACCCUUCAAGAGCCAAGAGUAGUGAAAUAAGGAACCCGGUUUUGCGCUACAUGCACAAGGCAUUGGUGAACCUCUCGUUUGCCCACACAGAGUCUGGGAGUGUCCAGACCGAGAAGCUGUUUGUUUAGUAUCCAUUUAGUAGGAUUUAUGAAAAGUCCAGGUCAAGGUACCUCAAGCGCGGAAGUAGCUGCAUUGAUGCGUUUGGCUGCUGAUUUAGGGAGCAAACUUUCUGAAGACGAGGGGCAAGAUAUCAUUCUUUGUUUGAAAGAGGCUGCUGAGUCUAGUUUGCCUGGUUUUGCAAAACUUCUGAAAACCAUGGACAGCAUCGAGAUUCCCGAUGUUUCUCAUCCAAAUAAUGAUAUGGAACUGUCUACGGACCAUGGAGAUGGCUCUGAGGAUGAUAACGAAAACUUUCAAAUGGUAGCAUAUAUUUUAUCAAGGAUGAAUGUCCAUAUUAAUGUACAGCUACUUGUUAUACAGGCUGUGACUCUUAUAUACAGGAUCCACUGGACGUCCCUGUCUGCAAAUGUUGUCACCAUAGUACUCGGAAUCUUUUCAUCGAUAUCAUCUCAUUCUCAUGAUUUGAACACCCAACUACAUUACUUCUCAAGUUAGAUAAAGCAUGCUCUAUCGUGGAGAUCUCAGGUCCACCACUCGUGCUCUUUGAAAAUGAAUCAUGCAAGAGCUACUUAAACUUUUUGCAUGAUGUACAAGUGAACAGCCCAUCUUUAUCGAGGGAGAAGAAUGCUGAAGGCGAGCUUGUGUCUGUAUGUAAGAAAGUGUUGCAUAUAUAUACCUUGAGUGUAGCGGAGUUGAAUGUGUCACAUAAAAACUUAGGGCAAACUGCCUUCUUCCAUUAGGCUCCGCAAAGGAGGAGGAAUAGCAGCUCGAAUGCCUCUAAUUCUAUCAGUUAUGCGGAUUUUGGGUAGUCUAGAAAGGGUAUCAUUCAGGAGGCAUGUUUCUCAGCUGUUUCCAUUGCUGGUGGAUCUCGUCCGAAGCGAGCACAGUUCAAUGGAAGUGUAACGAGUUUCGAGCAGUAUAUUUAAGUCAUGUAUAAUAGGUCCUCUAGUGUACAGAGUGUAAGUUGAGAUUUUCUUGCUUCACUAUCGGUUCUUAGGAAAUUGUUUUGCUGUAUAGGAAUAUUCCAUCUGAGUACAGUCAUUUUGGAACUCGACUCUUUAGAAAUGUAUGCACCUAUACUAGUGUGGCUACGCAAGACUUUAAUUCCUUCAAUUUUCCUUUUAUUCAAUUAUUAUUCACAAUGCAAA